AAAGGACUUUUUCUUUUCCAGAAUAGCUUCUUGUUUUUGUUGCCAAUUCUUAGGGUAUUGCUGAACAUUGUACUUGGUUAGUCUUAAUUAAGCCAAGGACGAAAAGGAGAAGGGGAAAUAGGUGGUCCUGAAGUUCAAGGAAAUGGACCCAAGGCUUUCAAAUGCCAUUCUGAAGAACGAUAAAGUUGCCUUCGAAACAUUAGUUAAAGAGGACAAAGGGAUGCUCCAACAACGAUCCGCAAGUUGCUCCAACACGGUAUUACACCGGGCUUCAAGAAUAGGCCACGCAGAAGUAGCCAGAGCAAUUGUAGAGCUGUGCCCUGAUUUGGUUUCAGCUGAGAAUGCUCUGGGGGAUACUCCUUUGCAUGAAGCUUGUCGAGGAGGAAAUGCCGAUAUCGUGAUGUUGCUGUUGGAGAACAAACCAGAGGUAGCCACAGGACUUAACUCUAUGAAGGAGAGCGCAUUUUCCAUAGCUUGUAGCAGGGGGCAUCUUGAUGUAGUUAAGCUAAUGCUCAAUCAAAGCUGGUUAAUGGAUAUCGAAGAAGCUAGAUUCCCGUCAAAUGCUUUGCACGAAUCAGUAUCAAGAAAAAACACAAGCAUUGUGAAGGAGGUAUUGGAAGCGAGGCCAAAAUUUGCAUGGAAACGCGACAAGGAUGGGUGUUUACUUCUACACUGCGCUUGUCAAAAUAGCAAUUUGGAGAUUACAAGAAUUAUUUUAGAGUACGAACCAAGAAGCUGUUUGCUGCUUAAUGAUAAAGGAUAUGCGCCAUUGCAUUUGGCAGCGAUGAAUGGUGAAGCUGCCAUAAUUCUUGAAUUUAUAUCAAGAGUUCCCGAAUCUUUCAAUUUAUUCACAAAACAGGGUGACUCUGUAUUUCACCUUGCUGUUAAAUCCGGCGACUUCGGCGCUUUCAUUAGCAUGGAGAAUAUUUUCAAGAACUCUUUCCACCUCCGCUUGCCAGACCAACACGGCAAUACAGUUUUGCAUCUUGCUGUCUCUACAGGCUGCU
rnacentral:misc_RNA from 1 species